CACCUUGCCCCCGUCCCAGAUCUACCUGUGAUCCCAUGGAGCCUGAAUUAUCUCCACUUGCUCGAUUUGUUUAAUUUUUAAUGCUUUUGGUUUAACAUGAAGACAAAGCAAGUAAAAUAGGAAUAAAAUGCAGCCACUCCAUAUGUUAUUGCUUUCUGCUUCUAGGCCGAACCCUCAAAAGAACAAAGGCAGUGCGUCCUCAAAGAAAAUUCAGCAUCAAAAAAGUAAAAAGAAAUGUUCUCUCACCCAACACAUAUGUCUCCACUGCUAAGGUUUCCAUGUUUUUGUUUCAGUUUAUUUAACAUGCAUAUUCAGGAGACCCUAACUUUUUAAAUCAAGGUUCUUGGGGUUUUCCACAAUUACUUCUCUGCCAAGAGUCACGAAUUUCACAGAUCUCUCCUCAGAACAAAUUUAGCCACCUGUUCAAGUUUCAUUGAAUUUUUAUAUGUCACUGGAAAAUGACUUGUUUUCUUUUUCAAAGAAAUAAAGUCAUUAUUACUUUUCAAAAGUCAUUUCCUUGCGCAAUACAUUGACAAUAGCAAGACUUUGUGAUAUCAAAUCAGAAGUGUCAGCUGGGUUUAAUAAGCCUUGCAAAAUACAUUUCUAAGUCACUUAAAGCAACAUUACAUAUUUUUUGUAAUCCUUUUUUACAAAAGUGCAGCUUUGUACCCUUUUCUUCUUUGUCGUUAUAGUGAAACAGUUUUCUUAAUAAAAGUACUUGUGCAACCCUCCCUUGGUAGAUAUUUGGACUGUUUCAGAUUUUGGCCACUGUAUAUAGUGUUGUAAUGCACAUUGUUGUGAAUAAAUAUUUACUGCAUCUUAAGUAUUUUUAAAGGAUAAAUUCCUAGUAAAGAAAUUAAAAGUCCCAAAAGGAAUAAGUUUUAAAAAACCUACUCAGAUAUGUGACAUAGAGAUUUUUAGAUAGAAACAGAGCUAUAUAGAGAUAUGAAUAAAAAACUGAACUAUUUCUCAGAAUGGCUGUAUGAAUACUCCCAAACCCACACCAAGCCCAUGUGGAGGUGUGGCAGGUUCCUCCCCACCAGCAACAGUAUGAGGCAGUAGACUUGUAAAAUAGCUGUGAGAAUUUGACAUAGAAAACUUGUCUCAUCAUUCCUUCUGUUUUCCUUUCUGUUACACUGGUAAGGUUGAAUAUUGUCCUUAUAUUUAUUAGC
rnacentral:lncRNA from 1 species